AACGCAAAUGGCACUGUCGGGAUAGGCCUGACAGUACGCUUCUUUCAGAGUCGUUUCAACCACACCUCGGCGGCAUCUCUUCAUUGAGACUGCGCAGCUGGAGAUUGAGUCGGUCACCGAGUUAACUCUUUGGUGUCCCUUCAAAUGUGGCAAGGCUUCAGUGUAGUGCUCUUCGCGGACAGUAUUCCGAUUGUACUCGCUAGCGACGUGGAUACUCGAUCUCUUUUGGUCUUGAAUCCAAUACGUGGUUAGUGUUUAGGAAAGGAGUAUUGCGCCGUGUGCACCGUCUGUGACUCCUCUCUUUUGAGGACAAACAGGCUGAUUCGCUUGUUUUUGAUUUGCGUUUGUGCGCCUCGUGUGUACAGACUGCCGAUCAAAUCCACACACUUGUGUGUGCUGUUUUCGACUAAGACCUGAAAUGAAGUGAGACUACCCGCUGAACUUAA
rnacentral:misc_RNA from 1 species